AAUUGCAUAGCAUAGUGGUUUAAGCAUUAGACUUCAGCUCUGAAGACAAGGGUUCAAAUCCCUGCUCAGCCA